ensembl:lncRNA
GCGUUUGUUACCCCCUCGAAGUGAAGGAAUUUUGCUCCAAAGCGAGCUGGGACCGAAGACUCUAGGCUAAGUUCUCUCUCUAUAUAGAUGGUGUCAGGGAGCGAAGCUACUGACCGAGCCGCUGGACCUAAACCAGAAAGCAGUAUACUCCAUGCUAAGCAGCUGAAUUGUUUCUCUGGCAUAUUCCACACACAGGGGCACAAGCAGAUAACUGACCAGACUAAGGAGUCCUUUCACGUGGCCCAUGAAGCAAGAUUUCUAAUUGUUAUAUAAUACAUUGAGUGCAUGAAUUUAUUUAUGAAGCAGCACAAUUAGUUUUAGUUUCAGUAUCUUCACUAGUUAUGAAGACCAAGAGUACAUUGAUUUAAACAACAGACUCCUCCUUCCUGUUGCGGUUGGUUUUUACCCUUUCUAGUUUACUGGCAACUUUGAACAGGCUCAGAGAAUUUGUGUUAAAAUAUUAAACAUAGCUACAUUUUGGGUGUAUUGUCUGGUGAGAAUACUAUUCAAUCAGCUAGGUUUUUAAUUACUCUUACAUGGUUCUGUGUGGUAUAGUGUUUGUGGCUUGCUGGUGGUUUUCUUAUUAUUGUUAUUGAUGUUAAGGUUCCCAUUAAAUCAUAACUAAGCUCAUUUUAACUUUCUGUGCCUGGGGUUGAUCUCAGUUUAAUGUAUCAGAAUAAUACCAUCCUCUUGCUAAGUUUGUUGGUACAUUAGGUAGUUUACCUUCAAUUGGUGUGUGUAUUGAAUUUCAGCAUUUCCAAAUGCAUGGCAUCUGACAUUCUGGGGAGAAGGUAACUUUUUUGGGAAGAGAAGGCUGUGUAGAAAGAGCCUGUUGGUUAAUGGAACUUGACAAUAUAUUUGCCUGUAUUUUUAAGGUGUCUAUUUUCAUUUUGAUAAGAGUAGAGUUUUUUCUGCAUGUGUAAAGUGUUUAUUAUGCUAGAGGUACUGAACGUUUCUUAAAAGUAAUUACUGUUUGUUUGUUUUUUUUUUCACUGUGUGAUUGAAAGGAACUCUGCACUGCUUGUGUGUUUUUGAGGAAAACCUGUAUUGUCCAGAGGAGGUGCCAAGAAAACAAGAAAAAAAAAAGAAACCAAAAAACCCACAACCCUACCCUUUCACACUGCUAUCUAUGUGGGAGACCUGAAAACUGAGAAACAAACGUCACCCCAAACAAUGAGUUGGAAAAUGAACUCAAAUUUAUCCUACGAAGCAGGUGACCAAACCCACCUCUUGGCUAUGCUGCUGUUGAAGAAACUGUAAGCUUUGUAGAUGAUGCUUUUGUUACAUUUGGCUGCAGAGAAAUUCAAAUGGCAACAUGAGUCUUGAGAAUUGAGAGGGAAAGGUGAUUUUAUACCUGUUGACCUCACAAGAAUAUAUGAGUGAUGAGGUAAAUUUUACAUUUACUCUAAUCUGUAUUUUAAAAGUUAUUCUGUGGAAAAGGUUAUUACAGAAAGAAAAAAAGUUGCUCUCAGCUGAAUUCAGUGAAGAAGCCAAAGAGUAAAUAGAUAAAGAGCCUGAACUCUCCUUCCUACAACAGUGAUUUUUCACUAAGGACUCUCUAGGUAUAUAAGGGGCACAGGCUCUUUUUAUAUGAUUUGUGUAUGUUCCCAUGGACUGUGAAAUCUAUUUCUGGGCAAUUUUCAAGUUAAAAUUGUUUUACGGCUACCCUGAAGGUUGUCAUUUCUUGUUUUUUUUUUUUUUUUUCUCUUGUCAGUCAAUUCAUAAGUGUUUAUUAAGCCCCCAUGGGGUAUACACAGAAUCAUAUACUAUUUGGGUGUGUAUAUGUGUGUAUGAUUGGUUGCUGGUCUAGAAGCUUACAGUCUUUAGGCAAAAGUGUGUGUGUGUGUGUGUGUGCAUAUACACAUGUAUAAUAUAAUGUUUUAAUUACAGAAGUUAGAAGUAGUUUUGUUUUGUUUUUAAUAGCUUUGUCCUAGAUCUCCAAGUGCAGUUAUUCUGAGAAAAGCAUAGCUUUGAGCCAGAUCAGGGAUAUAACUUCUCAGCUUGCUUGCUUUCUUUUAAAUUCAGAUACAGCAGACAUGUUUAAGAAUAAAGCCAGAGGGCUAGUAUUAAACUAGGGAUUCUUGCCAGGUUAACAUCUAGGUUUCAAAGUAAGGGCAGAUAACUCAUGCAGGUCAUUUUUAGGACAUGCCUAUUACCUGUGUCAAUUCAAUCAGUGAGCGGAUGAAUGGUUCCAUGGCUCAGAGCUGUCAAUUUACAUUUUUUAUGACCAAUGAAUCAAUUUAUGAUUUACUUUUUUUUUUUUUUGGAGGGUUUUGAAAAUUGAUAGGAAUUGGGACAGUAAGAAAAUUUCCAAGUGUUCCCAUGGUUGAAAACUGUUCUAAAGGAAUAUUUUCCCAGUUGUACUUGAAAACAUAUGGCGAAUAUGUAGGUUUAGGGAUUUACUUUUCAAAACUUAUUCACUUUCUUAAAUUUAUCUCUUAUCAGUCAUUUGUUGGAAUGGUAAUAUUCUUGAAAAGUGCUUGGUGAAUAGCUCUGAAAGUGGAUGGAGAAGUGCACAGAGCACUGGCCCUUUCCACAGCCCCAGUUUUCAAGAUGUACGUAUCUCAUUUCCAACAAAUCAUAGCCAGAACAUCAAAUUUCUUUUCCAUCUUCUGUUCCUGGUGGAUCUGAAUCAGAGAAGCAAUGGCUGAGAAAAAUUGGAAGGGAUCUUCAUUUGAACUUUGACUCCUGGCUCUUUUCCUGUUGGAUCCAUGAAUUUCUGAGAAUUUCUGAGAUCAUUUCUAAUUUGUUGUAGGAGUCCUUCUGGACAGAAAGUUCCCUAGUCUUUGUGAUAAGAAUAUGUUCUUUACAGCUUGCAGUAUUACAGGCUCUCUUCAUUCAUUUCCGAACAGUUUCUAAUAAACUGAAUAAAAG